rnacentral:lncRNA from 1 species
UCUAGUAUGGCCGUUCUCUGACGAGGUCCAGUGCAAGGUGUUCUGCGGCGAGGUUCUGUGGGAUAAAGUGUUAAAUAGGUACUAGCUUAAGUGGCCGUUCGUGGAGCUUGAGUUGCGCCCAUUGUUAACCACAGACAUGAGCGAGAGCAAGCCUAGUCCUCUGCGACAAGCUGAAUCCGAAUCUGCGGCCAUGGAUCGGGAAUCGCGGGCGCCGCGGAGAAAUUUGAGUCAACUGAGGGAAGAUAUCAUUAACGCUAAAAAAGAACUCUGCGCUCUAAAAGCUCGUAGAAAGCGUGCUUAGAAAAGCUUAGCGGGGUCCAAGCUGCUGCGAGCAGUGUGCGCGCUCAAUGCGUUCAGUUCGCAAAAGAGAAUGACGAGAUGACCGCGAAGAUUUCAGAGCUCACCACGAAAAUUUGCGAGGAAAAAAUUUCGAGGCUAGAGAGAUAUGCCAGCGCUACGCAGAACCAUGGCCUCCUGCAGUACCUGAGUGGAGUUCGUGCAGCUUUGCGGAGAAUUGAUGGGAAUCCAGAAGAGAUGGAAAGCUUGGAAGCAACAUUAGAGCAGCGCUGUAGCAUGUAUUGUGACAGAGCUGGAUGCGAGUUUCCAAAGCAAGAAGGCCAAGCUGGACCAGGGACAGAGCGCCAAAACUGAAGAUGUCACAUUCAGAGCUGAGGAACACCAAGUACUGCUGUGAUUCUCAUGAAUGCAACUGUCACUGAAAAGUUUUCCGAUUACUUCGACGAUGCCCCCAUCAUCAGGAUUUCAGGAAGAAUGCAUCCGAUCAACCAGGUCUUUCUGGAAGACCUCCUUGCAGGGAAAAUCAUUACCAAAGCUUCAUCAGAAAAGAGCCGUAACAACCCGGUCAAAAUUGUGCCCGACGUUUUGGUGUACCUCAUGGAGAUAAGCCCAGCUGGAACGAGAUCAAUGUGCACGCUUGCGAAGCAAGCGAGCGCCGGCCAAGUUUCACGAAUGAAUUUCACCCCUGCACUCCCGUCUCGAUUACCAAGGGCAGUAAAAGAUCUUUGCAAGUCCUCCACCGGGGGCAAGUGGCUUUAAUGAGUAGCUAUGCUGCAGCUUGAAGCUUUCAAAGGAAACUGCAUUACACUUCUGUUCAGCAUUAUUUCAUUCCUAUAACUUCAGUUACAUUGCCUCAACAUUCGAAGAC